CACCUCUCAGGAUUGCACCUGGAGAGUUUCUAGUACUCUAUUGGUCUUGACUAAGGGAGGGAGUGUCAGGCAGAGGCCUUUCCCUUCCAUUCCUAGCUUGGGAAGUGGCUAGCGAAUGGAAGGCAAUCUGCUACAAGU